UUACGCAUUUGUCCACGUUGGCCACGCGUCCAUCAUCGUCUGAACCUCUAAUUCGACUGCAACUUCUCGAUUUUUCCAUCCGUUUCCAGUUCUCUCUUUCACAAAUCUCUGCUUCCGUUGCUCUCGACUUGCCUUCUAUCACUCUCAAACGCCGGGUUGUACUCGGCAAAGUAUGUGAAGGACCAAUAAAUGGAUUCGAAGAUGAAGCAAGUCAAGGGACACAGAGCUCAGAAUAUCGGAGAUUAGAGAUUUUAUUCUUCUGCACUUCAAAUUUGAAGCACGAUGUAGUACAGAGUAUACAAUUCCUUGGCUAUGAGAUUUUUCAAGAGGGUUUUACUUUUUUGAAGAGUUACUUUCAAGGAUGAAAAUGAGUGUUCCAAAGAAAGCUAGGAGUUCCGGUGAUGAAAUUGAACUUAUCUUCUUGGGAUUGAGUUGCUUUUGCGACGGAGACAUUUCAGAAGAGAAUGAGACUUUCCAUUUGGACUUAAAAGAGAUCAAGUAUGCAGGGGAUUUGGUAGGAUAAACAUAUAAGAGAUUUGCAUGGAAGAUGAGAAGACGAUCUCUGUAUCCUUUGAAACACGUAUUUCGGAAAGCUUGAUGAUUCGCCUAUGUUUCGCUGACAGGCAGUGGCACAUAUUUGGGCAGGGCUUGGAGAGCCGGACCCCAGAUGGUGUAUGCCUACACCAGCAUGACCAAGGUGGUUAACCCAGCCCGCUGGAGCGACGAUAACCACGCUGAACGUGACAAGUUGUCUGGGCCCUUGAUUUUUUAACGUGCAAGUCAUCAAGAGAAAAUCGUGCAACUUGGUCUUUGACUCUUUUGGAGGAACUUCCACUUUCACUGGGUCCUGCUUCAUUACUGUAUUGUUCACAUGUUCGCUUAAUCAUGUCUCGUUGUACA